UCUCUCCCAAGUAGUGAAGAGUGUUGCCACGUCCUGCCUGCUGUCUGCUGUCCACAGUGGGGGUGUCACUCCAGGACCCUUUGUUUCAGUUUCCUUCCUGGUUCGUCUACUAUAAUACAUCCCACAUGGUCAUGGUUUCAAAUUGCACAAUUAUUUUAUUGUAGUUUGAAUCAAAUUCAGGGUGAAAGUUAUAUAGACUUUUGAUAUUAGAAAAUAUGUAAAUGAGAUAGUAUCAUUCAUAUUAUAUAUUGAGGCAUUUCAGGAACAAAGAGGUCAAAUACUUGGUUGAAAGUCAGUAAGUCAGUUAUAGCAUCUCUCAUUACUCAAUUAGCUUAGCCCAGUUUGAAAAUGUAGUGCCAUUUAUGCAUGUUCUCUUUGUUUGAUGCACUUUCAGUUGGUUAGCACUCUCCAGGCCUUCUAAUCUGGAGUUACUCUCCUUUCUUAUUAGGUCUUCAACUUUCAUAUAGAAGUCAGAUUCAUACAUUCAUUCUAGGAGUAAAUACUUUUUAUUUGGUAAAUAAUGUUUAUUUGGUAAAUAAUUUAUUUGGUAAAUAAUGUUGAACUCAGCAUUCUGCCAGGUACUCAGGAUUCAAAGAUGAGCAAAACAGAUUUGAUUCGACCAAGAGUUGCCAUCUGGUCAUUUGUCUCUUUGUUUAAUAUCUGAAUCCUCCAUUAGACUGUAAGCUUCAUGGAGUCAGAUGUUUUUCUUGUGUACCGUUGUAUGUCCUCUGGCCAGUAGAGUGGUGCUAUAAUAUUAACUGAACGAAAGAGGAGAGGAGUAGUACGAGUUUAAGUAAGACAAUUUUGGCUGUGGAGAGGGGAGGGAAGAGGGGGAAUUUGACACUCAAGGCACUGCUAGCAUCAGUCUUGGCAGUGCUCUGCUGCCAAAGGGAGUGGAAAGGUCCCGGCAGAAGAAAGACGGAAACCCCCAGCAAUGUGAAGGCCUGAGAGAACUGUCUCAGAAAAACAUCCAUUACCAAACAGGAAUUGGCUCAUAUGAUUAUGGAAGAAUGUCAAGAUCUGAAGCUGACAAGCUGAAGACUCAGGAGAGCCAAUGGUCAACUUCCAGUCGGAAGGCAAGAGAAGAGCUGUGUUCCAGCUCAAAGACAGGGAUGUUAACUUCCCAGAAUAUCCAGACUGUACCUGCCAGUUGCCUGAGUAGCCUCCACAGCUUCAAGAAAGACCCAAAGCAAAAAAGUGAAAAAAUA